GUCGAGGAACUGCCACAAGGGAGAGAACCAGAGGAUCCCGAGAUGAACUGGGUGUAACCUUGAGAAGAAAUUCUGGAAGAGACAAUUCUUUCCAAGGAAAGGAUGGUGAGGCAGAGGCUUUAGGAUUGAUACAAGGGCUAACUAAGGCAUGAGCAAGACAGAUGGAGAUAGACCAGGUGUGGAGUGAUGCGAAAGAGAUUGGAUGGCUACUGCAAAACAAUCAUGAUUUUAUGGUUAAUUCAUGGCCUAGAACCAUGCUAGUAGUAUGUCUAGAGUUGGAGAACCACUCCACUCACCCAAACUUUUGUAUAAUAACUAAUCCUAAGCAUAUGGAGGACCUAAAUACUCUAGCCAAAGAAGU